CGCCUGAGGAUGGGCCUGCGUCCGAUUAGGUCGUUGGUGGGGUAAUGGCCCACCAAGCCUGCGAUCGGUACGGGCAGUGGAAGCUGAAGCCCGGAGUUGGGGACUGAGACAAGGCCCCAGGCCCUACGGGGCGCAGCAGGCGCGAAACCUCUGCAAUGCGGGAAACCGUGACAGGGGGAUCCCAAGUGCUCAUGCAUUGCAUGGGCUGUUCUUUGGUMWAAGUAACCAGAGGAGUAAGGGCUGGGCAAGACCGGUGCCAGCCGCCGCGGUAAUACCGGCAGCUCAAGUGGUAGCCGCGAUUAUUGGGCCUAAAACGUUCGUAGCCGGAUAAGUAAGUCUUUGGUUAAAUCCUGCGACUCAACCGUGGGAAUUCUAGAGAUACUGCUCGUCUUGAGACCGGGAGAGGUUGGAGGUACUCCUAGGGUAGGGGUGAAAUCCUGUAAUCCUAGGGGGACCACCUGUGGCGAAGGCGUCCAACUGGAACGGGUCUGACGGUGAGGGACGAAACCUAGGGGAGCGASCCKGAUUAGAUACCCGGGUAGUCCUAGGCGUAAAUGAUGCGAGCGUUUGGGGCAUCUACGAGAUGGCCCUGUGCUGUAGGGUAGCCGUUAAACUCGCUGCCUGGGGA
rnacentral:rRNA from 1 species